AGACUACUGCGCGCGGCCGGCUGCGCAGCGAUAGGGCGCGGCGUCUGCGCCGCCACUUUAUCCCCAGCCGCUCGGCGGCGGGGGCGGCCCGCUGGGUGGGGACGCGCGGGGAGGCGGCGCCGGGGCCCCACGUGUGCCCGGCCCCCGGGGAGGAGCGGGGCAUCGCCCGCCGACCUGCCUCGCGCUUUUCCUGGCCGCGUGGGGGACCUUCACGGGGCACUGAACCGAAUUAUGGGGCCCUUCCAGCCCAUGCGCACAGUCGAGAACACAGACCCUCACACUGGUCCCCGGAGCAGAAACACGCUCACUAGAACUGCAUGCACAUGUUUACAGUUGCACACGUGCGAGACCCACAUUCAGAUAGCACAGGUGUAGGCACACCCACAAGGACACAUCCUCAGGACCCUUCCCCAGAUACAAACUACACACAGAGGUACAAGUGAAUGUCACAGUUACUACAUGAAUACAAACACACAGCAUGGACGCACACGCCCUAGACACCAUGCACACAGAUAAAAACAACACACCACACACACAGUGAGUGUCAGCGCAGAAACCACAGCUCUCAUCUUACAGGGGAAAAGAUUAUUCUGGAGCCAUUUUGAAUGACCAUGAGCUGGAAACACAGAUUUAAGUUACCCCUAAUUCCAUGUUCCUAUGUGAAAGCAGUUUCGGGAAGUUUUUUGGGUUUUUUUGGUUUUUGUUUUGUUUUGUUUUGUUUUUAAAAUAGUUUUACAGAACAGAUAAAGCCGUAUAUCAAGGCAAGUUUAAAAUACAUUGGUGGGUACAACAGAGAGUCAGGUAACAGUGAAAUGGGAAAGUGUUCCUAUAGGCUCAAAAUGCUAUCUGAUAGCAUUGCUAACUUUUGGAUUUGUAGAAGCUAACUAUCGUGUUAAAUCAAUAGUUAAACAGUGUUCAUCUAUUGCCUCAAGAAGUUAGUUCUAACAAAGAGGGGCAAGAAAGAAAUGGCUGUUCCUGAGGGCCCGAACUUAGCCCAAAAUAAAGUAAUUUGCCUCUGGACCUGGAACAUUCCAACCUCUCCAUAGUACUGAAACUUUAAUCAGCCAGCUAAUCUCAGCAGACACAGCUUCCCUUUAGUUUUCCGCCUCAGCAGCAGAAGUAGCUCCUUUCCCCAUGUUUUUGUUCACAACAGAGAAAAACAACACACCAUAUACACCCAGAGAGCUAAAGAUGCGUGACAUUCACGCACAAGCGCUUAGAGCUCUGAGAAGGAAGCAGACAUACUGCAAGCAAACACACACACACACACUGCAUGAAACCAUUUCCCCUAGGUGCCCCAGGAUCCAGGUCCCACUAGCACAGCUGCCUAUGUGGCUGUGGAGUCUGGAAUCCAGCACUAAAUUUACAGCCUGUCCACUGUGUCCUAUGCCUGCCACCUGUGAGUGACAGCUGCAGAGGAAGGAUGACCCCAACCCACACCCAUCUCCUCAGGCUUUCCAGGGCUUUCUUCUUGGCCAACCACUUUGCAAAAUAGCAGGGUUGAAUAGUAUCAUUGUCAGGGCAGCACAGUGGUAGUGUCCACCUAAGGGUCCUACUCUCUAGCACCGUAUGGCUUGGAACUCAUAGAUAUUUACCUGUCUGCAUCCUAAGUGCCGCCAUACCCAGAAUAACAUUGGAUUUAUACAAUCAAGAAAAGGGAAUCAACAGCAAAGGAUUGGUGAGCUGCAGAAAUUCUCAUGGAUUGUUGUCUUCUCACACAGCAGAAGACGUCAGGGACCCCUUUCAUUCUGGUAUUCUCACUGCAGAUAGGCUCUGUGGAAUAACAGUUCUUCCCACCCCCCUGCGUAUUUUUAAAAUGUUUUGUUACCUCUUCUGGCCAUGAUAGUGUCUAGUGAUGCCCUCUCCCAUUCUCACAGAUGAUGCCGUUUCCCUCUUAGUACUUUCAAGAUGGCUCUCUGUGUCUGGUUUUCAGAAGUUUCACCAUGUGUCUUGGUGUGGAUUCUUUAGGUUUAUUUUAUGCUUGUUCAGCUUCUCUAAUCUGAAGAAGUCAAGGUUUAUGUCUCUUGACAAAUUCAGAACAUUUUCACAUGACCAACAUUAUUAUUAUUAAAUGGUUUCUCUGUGU
rnacentral:lncRNA from 1 species